GAAGAACCAAUUAAGAUAUUAGCCUAAGAGGUCAGGAAAUUGAGAAAUAAAAGUAUAGCACUCGUGAAAUUACGUGGCAUCGACAUGGGGUUGAAGAGGCCACAUAGGAACCCGAGGAGACUAUGAGAGAUCAAUACCCUAACCUUUUCACCAGUAAGAUUUUCGGGGACGAAAAUCCCUAAGGGGGAGAAUUGUAACAACCUAAUUUUGGGGCUAGUCGGAAUAGUGGUUUCAAAACCACUAACCCGAGGUUAGAGAAAUUAUUUUUAAUAUUACUUUAUGUGUUGUAGCAUGAUUAUAGGAGUGCAUGAAAAUUUUGGUGAAAUAAUUUUAGCGAUU
rnacentral:lncRNA from 1 species